rfam:Exidia glandulosa HHB12029 unplaced genomic scaffold EXIGLscaffold_185, whole genome shotgun sequence.
CCUCUGGUAGCUCAGUUGGUAGAGCAUGAGACUGUAAUUUGGUUAACUAUGUAAUCUCAGCGUCACCUGUUCGAUCCAGGUCUAGAGGA